AGAGUUUGAUCCUGGCUCAGAGCGAACGCUGGCGGCAUGCUUAACACAUGCAAGUCGCACGGGCAGUUUCGGCUGUCAGUGGCGGACGGGUGAGUAACGCGUAGGUAUCUAUCAAUGGGUGGGGGACAACCACGGGAAACUGUGGCUAAUACCGCAUGACGACUGAGGUCCAAAGGCCGAAAGGUCGCCUGUUGAGGAGC
rnacentral:rRNA from 1 species